AGGGAAAGAGUGUUACACCGGUUUAUCGUUACCACAUGAAAAAAUGGUAGCUAAGGUGUGUGUGCGUGCAUGAAUUUUUGUUUUGUUAUUAAAAAAUGUCUAUGUUUUGAAUAAGUUAACUUACAACUAAAUGGAACCUUAAUUGUAGAAGGCACACAUUGAAAACUUUAAUGGGGCCAAUAAGGGGACUGUAGAAUCAAAUUUACGAGACAAUCAGAUCACUAGCCAAGAUUUGUGUCCUAGUUUUUCUGCCAGAACCAAAGAGGAUUUCACUGGUUUAUCUUUACCACACAUGGUC
rnacentral:lncRNA from 1 species